rnacentral:lncRNA from 1 species
UUCCAACAGUUAUCCAUAAGUCAAAGUAAUGUUCAUUGCGUUUGAAAACCCUUCUCCCAUGCUAAAAGGAGAAGUGAUGACAUUGUUGGCACAUAAAUACAAUGAUAUUUUCAUUCAAUAAAUUCAUGUUAAAUGUUUGUUUUCCCAAUUAUUUUCCCUUUUCGCUUUUUGCAUGAAAUUGGCGAUCACAUAAAACCCUAAAUAAGAAUAAAA